UACGUAGGCGGCAAGCGUUGUCCGGAUUUAUUGGGCUUAAAGGGUGCGUAGGCGGCUUUGUAAGUCAGUGGUGAAAUCUGGCAGCUCAACUGUCAGGGUGCCAUUGAUACUGCGGAGCUUGAGUACAGAUGAGGUAGGCGGAAUUGACGGUGUAGCGGUGAAAUGCUUAGAUAUCGUCAAGAACACCGAUAGCGAAGGCAGCUUACUGGGCUGUAACUGACGCUGAGGCACGAAAGUGUAGGGAUCAAACCGG
rnacentral:rRNA from 1 species